UCUCCUUUGAUUUUGGACCAGUUAAUUUAUUUGAUGUGAAAAGCUUUAGCUGGCACUUAAAUUGAGACACUUUUGAUUUUUAAAGAUUUGGUUUUUAAAAAUUGCAUGAAUGUAACAUGAAAAAAGCCUCGCUGUUUCUAGAAGGCAAACCUAAAGAUUGAAGGGGAGGUUUUUCUCCACAUGAAAACAUGAAGAGUCUUAAGUCCUAUCUUCUAACCAGAAGGAUUCGGGCUAACCCUUUCCUUCUGAAUCCAUCUUUCACCAACCUUAAUGGUAUUGAGAGAUGUAACAUACCAUUCUUUCUUCCUGAUUCAUUCUGCUUGGGCACUCUCUUGUUCUUUCUGUACACAAAACCAUUUCACUGAUGGGUUGUUGUUUAAUCUGAGAAAUACUGUAAUUCUUAACACUUUUGGCUACAGCCUCCCAGUGUCGCUAAAUAAUAUUUACUGAAUAUAUGCACUAGAGGCCAUUUAAGACGUUCAUACUUGUACAUAAACAUUAGCUUGGCCCUGGAAGGGAGGAGUGAGUGAGAAACUCAAGAUUACCUCACCUUAAUUACCUGCUGUGAGAAAAGGCUGAAAAGGGAAUCAAUGUCGAGCUUUUAAGAGAACCAAGGCUUCACAGUUUAACCCUGAGAUACAUACAUACACAUCUCUUCUAUUGGAAUCACUUGCUUUUGGUUGUAUUGGGUCUAAAAACAUUUAUUAAUCACAGCCUGCAAUUUUUCCUUUAAACUAUGGAAUAAUUGAUGAUGGAAACUAUAAAAAGGCAGAAACAUUAUGCUCCUAAUUCUAUUUUAUUCUGUUUUCUAAUUUUUUCAGAUUAGCAGUUCAGAGAAGAGUUCCAAAUAUCCUUGAGAAGCCACUAUAAAUAGAAUAUUUUCAUCCGAACUAUCUUUUUUUUUUCACUUGCUCAGAUCAUUAGGUUCCAUUGAAUAAUAAUUUUGUUAUUUGGAUUUCA